GAAUGUAUACAGACAAGGAGAAAACAAGAUAUGCAGAGAAAAAGAGAGAGAGAGAGCGAUUGGAAGAAGACGAGGGGAGAGCUUUGGCAGAGAAAGCGAUGGGUUUGCUAUUUCUGAUGCGCGAUUCCUCCUUCAGUUGUGGCGGUCUGUUUUUUUUUUUUUUUUUCCUUU
rnacentral:ribozyme from 11 species